AUCGGUGUUGCUAAUGAUCUAUUUAUGCUACUGAAAAAGUUACAUGUGGAUUACAUUUAGCAUGUAUAUGUAUUUUUUUGUUUGUUGUUUUCUCAAUAACAUUUUUAGGAUGAUAACCAAGAGCUAUAAUUCCAUGCACCCCAAAUAUACAGGACAGUACAACUUGCCAUGAUAUCUAAAAAUGUUAGGAUGGAGAAUAAAUAUGACCAACUAGGAUUUUUGGAUGGAGAAUAAAUAUAAUCAACUAGUCAAAUAAAUAUAUCUGUUUAGUCAAUCAGCGUGUUUCACAGAAUGGUCAGUACAACAGAAUUGGUAGAAUUAGCUAUUCCAUUUAUGUUGUUGUUACUUGUCCAGUUAGCGACAAAAGAAUAAUUUUUACUAUUUUUUUCUCUCAAUCCAAACAAGAACAUAAAGAGCAGCUACCUCGCCGAUCAAGAGUUUCGGAGGAGAUCUUUAGCCCAUUACUUGCAAAUCUCUCUAGGUUUCUAGUUGGGAUGGGUGUUCUGGAUGGGAAAUACGAUGACUUACCCGAACAGUCGUUUUACAUGGUUGGAGGUAUCGAGGAAGUCAUCGCCAAGGCCGAGAAGAUUGCAAAGGAGUCAGCGUCAUGAUAGAAAUUUCUCUCCUCAUUCAGAAACUGGAGCGAUAUAGCCUAUGGGACCACCUGCGAUGAAGAAAAAUUGCAUUUCCGUAGACAGCUUUUUCUUUGUUUUAAUGCUGGCCGGAUUUUUUAUCUUCUUCUGAGAGAGCCAAAAAUGAACUCUCAGAUCUUCUUGGCACGAUGAUAAGUAUAUGCAGCGACUCGUUUCUUUCUUGCAUGAGACAUUUGCACUCCAAACUGUAUCCAAAUGUGUAUUUUGUACCAGUCACUGAACCAUGUAGUUUGUUUCUCUAGUGGUUCUUACCUUCUGGUUUAA